rnacentral:rRNA from 1 species
UAAACGCGAAGAACCUUACCAGGUCUUGACGAUCUUUCUGGGCCUUUUCCUAGAGAUAGGAAUUUCCCCUUCGGGGGACAGGAGUGACAGGUGGUGCAUGGUUGUCGUCAGCUCGUGUCGUGAGAUGUUGGGUUAAGUCCCGCAACGAGCGCAACCCUUGAUCUUAGUUGCCAGCAUUCAGUUGGGCACUCUAAGGUGACUGCCGGUGACAAACCGGAGGAAGGUGGGGAUGACGUCAAAUCAUCAUGCCCCUUAUGACCUGGGCUACACACGUGCUACAAUGGAUGGUACAAAGGGCAGCAAAACCGCGAGGUUAAGCGAAUCCCAUAAAACCAUUCUCAGUUCGGAUUGCAGGCUGCAACUCGCCUGCAUGAAGCCGGAAUCGCUAGUAAUCGCGGAUCCAGCAUGCCCGCGGUGAAUACGUUCCCGGGCCUUGUACACACCGA